rfam:Sarcophilus harrisii ctg7180002507214, whole genome shotgun sequence.
AUGGAGACAUGGCAUAAAGCCAGAGAGAGAAAGAGACAGAAAGAAAGAAAAAGAGACUAAUUAGACUGUCAACUUGAAAAGAUUCGCAUCUCAUUUU